GGCGUCUCCGGUGGCCGGCCAAAGGCUCAUUCAAAGGCUUCUUCAUCUCCUUGCGUUCCUCUCGUCGAGGAGGAGCCGUGAGCACAAGGAGGGACCGAAAGCUCGAGUUCUCCGAAGCCCUAGAAUUGUUCUCGCCGGCUGUAAGUCUAAGGAACCGAUAUACAGGAAAGGAAAAGAUAUAGAAAGGAA